UGGUGGAGUAAAUGAUAGUGAUGAUAAAAAAAUGUAUAAGUGAUAAUAAAACUUGGUUCUCAUUGCUCCUCAUAUUGCUAUCUCUCCUCUUCUUUGAUCUUUGCUUUGGGAGAACAUGGGCUAUCUUUUUUCUACUUUUCUUCUGUCUCUCUUUUUUUUUGGUGGGUAGUAGAUACCCCUAAUUCUACUGUCAGACACUUGUCUAUUUUUUCCGCUCAAGUGGGCAUUUUUGUACCCCUAAUUCUACUUCGGACACUUGUCCAUUUUUACCUCUCGUCUCACUCUUUUUCUUUCUUUUUCGAGGUUCCGGGCACUUGCCACUUUUUAUUUCCUCGCAUAUUUUUGCAUAACCCAUGCCUCUUCUGCAUUGAAUCUUUUUAGAGAGAGAGAAUAACAAUAUUCGGGACAGUGAGUGAUAAUAUUUUUAGAAAUUUUAAUGAUUGGUAAUGAAUGCUAUGGUAGAUGUGUGCAAGUGAAUAUCUUAAUUUAACCACAUGAAAAGCUCCUAAGGGUCU
rnacentral:lncRNA from 1 species